AUGUUAAACGGCCGCGGUAUUUUGACCGUGCGAAGGUAGCGCAAUCACUUGUCUUUUAAAUGAAGACCUGUAUGAAUGGUGAAACGAGGGCUUAACUGUCUCCCUUUUCUAGUCAAUGAAAUUGAUCUGCCCGUGCAGAAGCGGACAUAAAAAUACAAGACGAGAAGACCCUUUGGAGCUUAAGAUAUAAAGAUCAACUAUGUCAAUGAACCUCUACACAGCAACAAACUAAAUAGCAACUGAUCUUAAUCUUCGGUUGGGGCGACCACGGGAGAAAAUAAAGCUCCCAUGCGGACUGGGGUAAACCCUAAAACCAAGAAAAACAUUUCUAAGAAACAGAACUUCUGACCAAUAAGAUCCGGCUACAUGCCGACCAACGGACCAAGUUACCCUAGGGAUAACAGCGCAAUCCCCUUUCAGAGUCCAUAUCGACAAGGGGGUUUACGACCUCGAUGUUGGAUCAGGACAUCCUAAUGGUGCAGCCGCUAUUAAG
rnacentral:rRNA from 1 species